UACAGAGGGUGCGAGCGUUGUUCGGAAUUAUUGGGCGUAAAGCGCGAGUAGGCGGCUUGUUAAGUCGCGUGUGAAAGCUCCGGGCUCAACCCGGAAAGUGCGCGCGAAACUGGCGAGCUUGAGUGCUGGAGAGGGUGGCGGAAUUCCCGGUGUAGAGGUGAAAUUCGUAGAUAUCGGGAGGAACACCAGAGGCGAAGGCGGCCACCUGGACAGACACUGACGCUGAGAAGCGAAAGCGUGGGGAGCAAACAGG
rnacentral:rRNA from 1 species